GGUGGAGGUAACAUUGUUGUGGAGUAGUUGUCCAGGUGACUAUCAGUAUCACAAAUUCACGAUCCUCUUGUGACUCAUACCAAUUUCAAUGUCGAUAUCAAUCUUUCUCAUUUCAUGACGUAAAGGCAGGGGUAAGGAGAAAAUUCACAAGCUUGAUGUCUAACUUGGUACAGGUCGAGGCAACAGAGGCUGAAGAGCCUUUACGACAAUGCUCAUGUUUGGCCGGAAG
rnacentral:misc_RNA from 1 species